rnacentral:rRNA from 1 species
AUUAGAAGUAAAACAUGUUUACAAGGUUUCCGUUGGUGAACCAGCGGAGGGAUCAUAGGUGGAACGGGCCCUAGCCGCCCCCCGAAACCCUUUUUGAACUUAUACUUUGCUGGUGCCUCGGUGCAUGCUGGCCCCCUGGGGGCCCCCCGGGGACCGGGAGCCGGCGCGCCCGCGGUCAAGUUAAGUCUUGUUUUUACAGUGAAAGUGAAAGAAAAAACAAAAAAGAAUUUAAACCUUCAACAAUGGAUGUUUUGGUUUUGGCAAAGAUGAAGAAGGAAGGGAAAUGGGAUAAGUAAUGUGAAAUUCAGAAUUCAGUGAAUCAUUGAAUCUUUGAACGCACCCCGCGCCCUCUGGUAUUGCGGAGGGCAUGCCUGUUCGAGCGUCAUUUCAACCCUCAAGCAUUGCUGGGUGUUGGGGCACCGCUUUUGGGGGAGCAGGCCCUGAAAUAGAGGGGGCAGCUCGCCCGGUCCCCGAGCGCAGUAGUUAAACCCUCGCUUUGGAAGGCCCCGGCGGUCCCCUGCCGUUCAACCCCCAAUUUCUGAAAAGUGACCUCGGAUCAG